UACGGGGGGAGCAAGCGUUGUUCGGAUUUACUGGGCGUAAAGGGCGCGUAGGCGGCCUCUGCAAGUCGACUGUGAAAUCUCCGGGCUUAACCCGGAAAGGUCAGCCGAUACUGCAGGGCUAGAGUGCAGAAGGGGCAACUGGAAUUCCCGGUGUAGCGGUGAAAUGCGUAGAUAUCUGGAGGAAUACCGGUGGCGAAGGCGGCAUCCUGGACCGAGAUUGACACUGAGGAGCGAAAGCUAGGGGAGCAAACGGG
rnacentral:rRNA from 1 species